UACGUAGGGUGCGAGCGUUAAUCGGAAUUACUGGGCGUAAAGCGUGCGCAGGCGGUUCGGAAAGAGAGGUGUGAAAUCCCAGGGCUUAACCUUGGAACUGCACUUUUAACUACCGGGCUAGAGUACGUCAGAGGGGGGUAGAAUUCCACGUGUAGCGGUGAAAUGCGUAGAGAUGUGGAGGAAUACCGAUGGCGAAGGCAGCCCCCUGGGUCAAGAUUGACGCUCAUGCACGAAAGCGUGGGGAGCAAACAGG
rnacentral:rRNA from 1 species